GAUGAACGCGGCGGCGUGCCUAACACAUGCAAGUCGAACGGAGAUUACGGACGGAAGUUUUCGGAUGGAAGUUUGUAAUUCUUAGUGGCGGACGGGUGAGUAACGCGUGGGCAACCUGCCCUAUACAGGGGGAUAGCAGCUGGAAACGGCUGGUAAGACCGCAUAAGUCGGUUAAAUCGCAUGAUUUGAUCGGGAAAUGAGCAAUCAGGUAUAGGAUGGGCCCGCGUCCGAUUAGCCAGUUGGCAGGGUAAAAGCCUACCAAAGCGACGAUCCGUAGCCGGACUGAGAGGUCGGACGGCCACAUUGGGACUGAGACACGGCCCAAACUCCUACGGGAGGCAGCAGUGGGGGAUAUUGCACAAUGGAGGAAACUCUGAUGCAGCGACGCCGCGUGAGUGAAGAAGUAUUUCGGUAUGUAAAGCUCUAUCAGCAGGGAAGAUGAUGACGUACCUGACUAAUGA
rnacentral:rRNA from 1 species